GAGUGGCGAACGGGUGAGUAACACGUGGGUAACCUGCCCAUCAGAAGGGGAUAACACUUGGAAACAGGUGCUAAUACCGUAUAACAAUCAAAACCGCAUGGUUUUGAUUUGAAAGGCGCUUUCGGGUGUCGCUGAUGGAUGGACCCGCGGUGCAUUAGCUAGUUGGUGAGGUAACGGCUCACCAAGGCCACGAUGCAUAGCCGACCUGAGAGGGUGAUCGGCCACAUUGGGACUGAGACACGGCCCAAACUCCUACGGGAGGCAGCAGUAGGGAAUCUUCGGCAAUGGACGAAAGUCUGACCGAGCAACGCCGCGUGAGUGAAGAAGGUUUUCGGAUCGUAAAACUCUGUUGUUAGAGAAGAACAAGGAUGAGAGUAACUGUUCAUCCCUUGACGGUAUCUAACCAGAAAGCCACGGCUAACUACGUGCCAGCAGCCGCGGUAAUACGUAGGUGGCAAGCGUUGUCCGGAUUUAUUGGGCGUAAAGCGAGCGCAGGCGGUUUCUUAAGUCUGAUGUGAAAGCCCCCGGCUCAACCGGGGAGGGUCAUUGGAAACUGGGAGACUUGAGUGCAGAAGAGGAGAGUGGAAUUCCAUGUGUAGCGGUGAAAUGCGUAGAUAUAUGGAGGAACACCAGUGGCGAAGGCGGCUCUCUGGUCUGUAACUGACGCUGAGGCUCGAAAGCGUGGGGAGCAAACAGGAUUAGAUACCCUGGUAGUCCACGCCGUAAACGAUGAGUGCUAAGUGUUGGAGGGUUUCCGCCCUUCAGUGCUGCAGCUAACGCAUUAAGCACUCCGCCUGGGGAGUACGACCGCAAGGUUGAAACUCAAAGGAAUUGACGGGGGCCCGCACAAGCGGUGGAGCAUGUGGUUUAAUUCGAAGCAACGCGAAGAACCUUACCAGGUCUUGACAUCCUUUGACCACUCUAGAGAUAGAGCUUCCCCUUCGGGGGCAAAGUGACAGGUGGUGCAUGGUUGUCGUCAGCUCGUGUCGUGAGAUGUUGGGUUAAGUCCCGCAACGAGCGCAACCCUUAUUGUUAGUUGCCAUCAUUCAGUUGGGCACUCUAGCAAGACUGCCGGUGACAAACCGGAGGAAGGUGGGGAUGACGUCAAAUCAUCAUGCCCCUUAUGACCUGGGCUACACACGUGCUACAAUGGGAAGUACAACGAGU
rnacentral:rRNA from 1 species